GAAAGUUACGGCGGCGACGGAUUGGCUCGCGUCCGAUUAGCUUGUUGGCGGGGUAACGGCCCACCAAGGCUACGAUCGGUAGGGGUUCUGAGAGGAAGGCCCCCCACAAUGGGACUGAGACACGGCCCAUACUCCUACGGGAGGCAGCAGUGAGGAAUAUUGGUCAAUGGGCGGAAGCCUGAACCAGCCAUGCCGCGUGCGGGAAGGAGGCCCUAUGGGCUGUGAACCGCUUUUGCCUGGGGGCAAUAAGGGCGUCGCGCACGUCCGAUGAGAGUACCAGGCGAAUAAGCAUCGGCUAACUCCGUGCCAGCAGCCGCGGUAAUACGGGGGAUGCGAGCGUUAUCCGGAUUCAUUGGGUUUAAAGGGUGCGUAGGCUGUGCGUCAAGUCGGGGGUGAAAUUCCGGUGCUCAACACCGGGGCUGCCCUUGAUACUGUCGCGCUGGAGUGCGGAUGCCGCCGGAGGAAUGAGUGGUGUAGCGGUGAAAUGCUUAGAUAUCACUCAGAACACCGAUUGCGAAGGCAUCUGGCGAAUCCGUAACUGACGCUGAGGCACGAAAGCGUGGGGAUAGAACAGGAUUAGAUACCCUGGUAUUCCACGCCGUAAACGAUGAUGGCUAACCGCCGGCGACACACUGUCGGUGGCCAAGCGAAAGCGAUAAGCCAUCCACCUGGGGAGUA
rnacentral:rRNA from 1 species